UACGUAGGGGGCAAGCGUUGUCCGGAAUCAUUGGGCGUAAAGAGCGCGUAGGCGGCCCUGUAAGUCCGCUGUGAAAGUCAAGGGCUCAACCCUUGGAUGCCGGUGGAUACUGCAGGGCUAGAGUCCGGAAGAGGCGAGUGGAAUUCCUGGUGUAGCGGUGAAAUGCGUAGAUAUCAGGAGGAACACCGGUGGUGUAGACGGCUUUCUGGACCAUAACUGACGCUGAAACACGAAAGCGUGGGUAGCAAACAGG
rnacentral:rRNA from 1 species